ACGGGAGGCAGCAGUGGGGAAUUUUGCGCAAUGGGGGGAACCCUGACGCAGCAACGCCGCGUGCGGGACGAAGGCCUUCGGGUCGUAAACCGCUUUCAGCAGGGAAGAUAGUGACGGUACCUGCAGAAGAAGCUCCGGCUAACUACGUGCCAGCAGCCGCGGUAAUACGUAGGGAGCGAGCGUUAUCCGGAUUCAUUGGGCGUAAAGCGCGCGUAGGCGGCCGCCUAAGCGGAACCUCUAAUCCCGGGGCUCAACCUCGGGCCGGGUUCCGAACUGGGCGGCUCGAGUGCGGUAGGGGCAGGCGGAAUUCCCGGUGUAGCGGUGGAAUGCGCAGAUAUCGGGAGGAACACCGAUGGCGAAGGCAGCCUGCUGGGCCGACACUGACGCUGAGGCGCGAAAGCUAGGGGAGCGAACAGGAUUAGAUACCCUGGUA
rnacentral:rRNA from 1 species